GCUCAUCCGCUUGCGAAAACCAUGUGUUCGAGCCAACGACUUCCUUGAUCUAUUCCUCUUAGUCUGACAAAGAGCAUACUUCUUUGCCAUCACCACCAGGCCACGCCUUUUGGUGGUGCUCACUCCAAUGUUGGAAUUGAAGCCAAAGCCCAAGCCAAGUGAUGAACCUAAGCCAGAAGUUAACUAUUAGCUGGCUACUACUCAUCAUGCCAAUUUAAAUACGAAAGUUAUCAUAGCCUCCAUGUAUUUACAAACUUUCUCCGUUCAAUUGUAUUAUCAUCCAGCUUUAACCAAUGGAUUUUGAUCAUAAAACCAGAAAUACAAUUCAACUUUUUCAAUAGUACACCAAUGAUGUCAGACCUAAAAUAUCCACAAUAGAUAUUACAAACAUGAAUAAUAUGGAAUACUAAACAUCAGAAACAAGAAUGGCAAUAUACCUUUUUUACCUUCAAAUCCAUUAGUGGAUAGAAUACAACACAACAGGACUCAAGAUAAGACUAUAAGUCGUUUGGUGUGAGGUAUAAAGGGAUAAAUAGUUCCGGAAUAAAAUGAAGGACUACUUUAUCCCAUGUUUGGUGUGAGAUAUUAGUUAGUACCGGGAUUAUUUAUCCCACCAUUUACAUCAUAGUGACGAGAUAAGUUAUCCCCACAUAUAUAUGGUGGGAUAACUCUUUCUCAACCAAGUUGUCUGGUGUGAGCUAUAAGGUAAUAAUCCCGGAUAAAACGUAAGACUAUUUGUCGUGCAUUUGGUUGGAGAUAUUAGGUAGUCGUGAGAUUAUUUAUCCCCCCGCUAUUUGUACCAUAGUGAUAAAUAAGUUAUCCCACCGUGUAUAUGAGAUAACUUGUUCCCAACCAAACCCCCUAAAGGGAAUUAUUAUCUGUUUACAGUAUGCCCAAAAGAACAUUUUAAAAUGCACAUAUUGAGAUUAUAUGGAUACGGAAUCAAGAAACAUCCCCUAAUUACGAAUUCAAAUGCAAGAGAAAUUUCCAAUUCACCCAACAAGUUAAUAUCACUUUCCAAAUUGCCACUUGAAAAAUCAAAAUGAAGAUAGAAGUGGUACUUACCAGAGAAGGAAGUUGAAGCAGAUAAGGUAGAGAGUGGAGAAGAAGGAAGGAAAGAACAGUGAAGCAAACCGGGGCAUGUUGAGGCCAUUUUCAAAGAUGUCAUUCUUGAGGAAGGAGCAGUAACAGUAAGUAAAGAACGCGAAGAAGCGG
rnacentral:lncRNA from 1 species